rnacentral:lncRNA from 1 species
CAAGAUUUCAUUGUUUUUGACAGCAGAGUAAUAUUCUGCUGUAGACGUACACCUUGUCUUCUUUUUCCAUUUACCAGUCAGUCACCAGUCUGGCUCUUCCCAGAGUUCAGCUGCUGUCGGCGAUGCUGCCGUAAACAUCGGGGUGCAGGUACCCCUUCAAAUCAGUAUUUUUGUGUUCUUUGGGUAAAUACCUGGUACAGCAAAUGUUGAGUCAUAACGUAGUUCUAUGGUAACAUCCUGCGAGACCUCUGUCCUCUUUCAGAGUGGUUGCUUUUUUGUCAUUAAUGGAACAUGUUUCUUAAUGCUCCUCAGGAAGCGAUGAGUGAUAAAGCAGAGGAGUCCGCUGUUGGGCCCAAAAGUCAAAUGAAACAUUGUGGAAAACCCAUCACUGAACUUCCAUUCAAGAAAAGGCUGACCAUGGUGCUGCUUUCAAUGAGAGAGGAAGUAGAGGGAUCAUCCCAGCCUGAGGGCUCAGCCAUGUCUUCGGAAGAUGAUGAGCCCAUGGUCACAGCAAUGCCUAUGUCAGGAGAUGUGCCAGAUCAACUGCCAAUACCAGUGAAAAUCAAUAUGGAAAUAAAAGAUCAAUUAAAGAAGGAAAUUCGACAUUUUGGAGGAAAAUAUGAAAUAGUCUCCAAAUUGCUUGAAGGAGUGCAAGGAACUCCAGAAGUGCAGAAAAAAUUUGUUGUAUAUGCCAUGAAGGAAGCGGCAAGGUGAGUGCCGGAGGAACUGUCC